CAAUAGCGUAUAUUAAAGUUGUUGCAGUUAAAAAGCUCGUAGUUGAAUUUUUGCUUGCCGCCGAUGUCGGAACUUCCGUACGUUCGGCGGCGUGCAUCCUUGGGUGGAACCUGUGUGGCAUUAGGUUGUCGUGCAGGGGAUGCUCAUCGUUUACUGUGAAAAAAUUAGAGUGUUCAAAGCAGGCUUACGCCGUUGAAUAUAUUAGCAUGGAAUAAUAAGAUAGGACCUUGGUACUAUUUUGUUGGUUUGCGCACCGAGGUGAUGAUUAACAGGGACAGUUGGGGGUAUUCGUAUUCCAUUGUCAGAGGUGAAAUUCUUGGAUUUCUGGAAGACGAACUACUGCGAAAGCAUUUACCAAGGAUGUUUUCAUUAA
rnacentral:rRNA from 1 species